AUGGCGGCCCCGAUGUUGAACCAGCUCAACACCCUCGUGGCCAACAUGUUCGCCGCGGGUUUGCUGGACGAUCAGUUCCAGGAGCUGCAGAUGCUCCAGGAAGGGAGCGCCCCAGACUUCAUCGACAAGGUUGUCACGCUCUUCUGCGAGGAUGGCGAGUGUAUCAUCGGCGAGAUCGCCAAGCUGCUGGACAAGCCAUGUAUGGACUAUCACAAGGUGAGCCGUUUUGUGCUUGAACUCAAGGGAAGCAGUGCAUGUAUUGGUGCUCAGAGAGUGAAGAACAGUUGCAUUCAGUUCCAUCAGUGUUGUCAGGAGAAGAGCAGAGAUGGGUGCCUGAACUCACUGGAUUCUGUGAGGAACGAUUUCUAUGAUGUGUGCAGCAUGUUCAAGCCACAUGCUUCAGCUGGGCCAGCAGGUCCAGGCCUUAGUGCUAAACUGUAG
rnacentral:rRNA from 1 species